UGGGGGCUGUGGUCAGUCCCUAAUGCCCUAGGUCUCCACUGCUCCUUCAGGGUCCCGCUCUGCCCCUGCUCCCUGUGGGGUCCCUCCCAUGGGAUGCCGUCCUUCUCAAACUGAGCCUGCGGGGGCUGCCCACGGGCAACAGCUCUUCAAGAACUGCUCCCACACGGCUCCGUACCAUGGGGUCCAUCCCCCAGGAGCAAACUGCUCCAGCACAGGUCCCCCACGGGUGGGCAGCAGCUCCCCCUAGACUGCCUGCUCCUGCAUGGGCUCCUCUCCACGGGCUGCAGCCUCCUCCAGGCCACAUCCACCUGCUCCUCCACGGGGUGGGGGGGCUGCAGCAUGGAGAUCUGCUCCAUGUGGGACCCAUGGGCUGCUCCACCAGGGGCCUCUCCACAGGCUGCAGGGGAACUGCUGCUGCAUGCCUGGAGCACGUCCUGCCCUCCUGCUGCACUCACCUUGGGAGCUUCAGGGCUGGUUCUCACUGAAGCCAACUGCAUUGAACUGUGAUUUGCACUGUGUACUCUUGAGACAAUAUGAUAUUCUCUUGGAGAGUGGUUCUUCUUUGGCUAGUAGAGGGAAACCUGGAUGACUAUAUGUGCUGACUGGCCAGCUACCUUCUGCCACAGUAGAGAAGAGCAAGUGUGCAAGGCUACAGGUGAGGUACCCAGGAACUACUCUACUAAAUAGAUUUUUUCUAAGAAUCCUUCAAGUCUGCCAUCCAGGUAAGAACAGCCAAAAAUCACAUAGGAGACCUAACAGUUAAUUUUUCUUUAGCUGUCUCUAGGGAUAUCAUUCUCUGAUUUUCUUCGGUUCCUGAAGGAUAAUUUGGCUGCCUGUGCAAGCUUGAUUUGAGUGUGAUUCCACAGCUGCAGAAGCCCAUUGAUAUGUGGUGGUGAGCAAAUCACUGCAUUUUUUUCAGGGCUCAGCUGUUUAAAAUAUACUGAAUGCAAAAUCACUGGUAAGUUACAAUGUGUUUAAAUUACUCUAAUUAAAGCUUCUGUAGUAUGGCACAGUUCAUGAUAUUUCAUUGCAAAUUAUAGCUCAUGUACCUACCAUGGCAAGCAGGCGUUAUCCCUUAUCUCUUUAUUCAAAAACUAGGAAGAAUGGGAAGAAACAAACUUUUCAAGCUAAAUUGCAGACUUAGUAACUGAAGUCCUUUCAAAAACUUUUGAGCACCUCUACAGUGAGACAAACAGUUAAAUUAUGGGUCUGAACUGCUUCAUCUGAUGGUGGGAGAAAAAGAAAUCCCUCCUAAGGAAGGCUUUGGUCUGUUUCUAUUUUUAACAGGUCGGCUAUACCAUAUAAAAAGGAGCAUUGAAAGUCAUUCAUCAAGCUGUGUAUCAUAUUGUGAAGAUUGCAACACUUCCCGCUGCAGACAGGAACAAGUCAAACUCAUUGUAGAUGUUGAAGUGGUGGGGAUGAAUGUUUGAGAAGGGUUGGUUUGUAGCUAUCACAUAAAAGUGAAGACUAACAGAGAGAAGCUUAGAAAAUAUUUCCCUGGCUAUCUUAAAGUAGAUGUUACAGAGUUUCUGCAGUGCCAUUUUUAUAUUUCUUGCUGAAGCUUGAAUUGUGUUUUCUGUCUCAGCAUA
rnacentral:lncRNA from 1 species